UACGGAGGGUGCAAGCGUUAUCCGGAUUCACUGGGUUUAAAGGGUGCGUAGGCGGAUAGGUAAGUCCAUGGUGAAAUCCUGCAGCUUAACUGCAGAACUGCCGUGGAUACUAUCUAUCUUGAAUGUCGUGGAGGUUAGCGGAAUAUGUCAUGUAGCGGUGAAAUGCUUAGAUAUGACAUAGAACACCAAUUGCGAAGGCAGCUGGCUACACGAAUAUUGACACUGAUGCACGAAAGCGUGGGGAUCAAACAGG
rnacentral:rRNA from 1 species